rnacentral:rRNA from 1 species
UCGAUUUGAGUUUGAUCAUGGCUCAGGACGAGCGCUGGCGGCGUGCCUAACACAUGCAAGUGGAGCGACGAACCAGGCUUCGGCCUGGGGCAAAGCCGCGAACGGGUGAGUAACACGUGGGUAACCUGCCCCGAUGAUUAGGACAACCCGAGGAAACUCGGGCUAAUACUGAAUGUGCCCUUCGGCCGUAAGGCUGCUGGGGAAAGGAAGCUUCGGCCUCCGCAUCGGGAUGGGCCCGCGGCCCAUUAGCUUGUUGGUGAGGUAACGGCUCACCAAGGCAACGAUGGGUAGCUGGUCUGAGAGGACGAUCAGCCACACUGGGACUGAGACACGGCCCAGACUCCUACGGGAGGCAGCAGUGGGGAAUCUUGCGCAAUGCGCGAAAGCGUGACGCAGCAACGCCGCGUGGGGGAAGACGGCCUUCGGGUUGUAAACCCCUUUCAGUUGGGACGAAGCUUCGCCGGUGAAUAGCCGGCUGGAGUGACGGUACCUUCAGAAGAAGCCCCGGCUAACUACGUGCCAGCAGCCGCGGUAAUACGUAGGGGGCAAGCGUUGUCCGGAAUCAUUGGGCGUAAAGAGCGUGUAGGCGGCUCGGUAAGUCCGCUGUGAAAGUCCAGGGCUCAACCCUGGAAUGCCGGUGGAAACUGUCGAGCUAGAGUCCGGAAGAGGCGAGUGGAAUUCCUGGUGUAGCGGUGAAAUGCGCAGAUAUCAGGAGGAACACCAAUGGCGAA